rnacentral:lncRNA from 1 species
AUGUAUCAUAAAGCAGGUCCACAUAUGAGUGAGUACAUAUCAUGUUUGUCUUUUUGUGAAUGGGUUACCUCGCUCAGAAUGGUUUCUUUGAGUUCCAUCCAUUUUCCUGCAAAUUUCAAGAUUGUUAUUUUUCUGCUGAGUAGUACUCCAUUGUGUAAAUGUACCACAUUUUCUGUAUCCAUUCUUCAGUUUGAGGGAGCAAUUUUUUUUAUAAGUUGCCUUGAUUGUGAGUUUUCUUAUAGCAACAGGAUAGUAACUAAGACAGCUUCUAAUAGGAGCUGUGGCAAAGGGUGAAAGAAUCAGAGAUACCUGUUUUCUGCCUGCCCAGUAGCAAGAGAGCAGGUGCCUCCGACUAGCUCCUAGAUUGAAAUAUUUUUCCCUGUCAUUCUCUGGGGCUCCUGAAUAUUCAUUUGAACUGUGAAGCUAGAGAAGGUUGUGACAAAAGGACUUUCCCCCUAAAAUAAUGGAUCACAGAAACAGGAGACCCAGCACCAUCAAUCUUGGGGCAAAAGGGCCCAGGCGGCAGCAGCUGGGGCAGCUUCAGAAAGGACAAAGCUUGGGCAAAUAGACAGCGAGAAAGAAAGUAUUCUGUUUCAUAAGUCUGAAAAGGUGGACCAAGAAGGGACACACUCAUCCCCUGAGCAGCAGUGUGCCCCCUGAGAUAACGAUGAUUGCCAUGCCCUUUCUUACCCCAGUGUCCCCCAGUUCACCCACUGACAUUUUCCCCCCACCCACAGUCAGAACUUGGCUUUGUUUGUUUUAAAAUUUAUUUUUAUUUAUGCAUAGGUGUAAUGUGAGUGUUAUGGCACAUGUGGGCCAGUGAUUGCAGAGGCCAGAAGAGGGCAUCGGAUACCCCCAGAGCUGGAGAGACAGGAGAUGAUGAGCCGUACAUCAGUGCUAGGAACUGAACUUGGUCAUGUGGAAGAGCAGCAAGCACUCUUAGUUCUAGGACUCAGCAUUUAAAGGACUGUUUCCACUUUAAACAUGGACCCUUUGUGUCUUGUUCUAAAGGACUCCUGGCUGCUGCAGCCCAGUGCCAAAGCCCCAGAUCAGAAACACCAAAAGUAAGAGGAGGGCAGGGGAGUUAAUUAAUGCACACGUGGGACUAAGAGGAAAGCCCCACUGUGUCUUGAGACAAAGUAGAGUCUGGAGAAUGUAUCUAUAUGGGGAUCAUUUGCUAAAUGGUUGCCUGAAGCUCACAGGGGUCAAUAUGGAUCCUAAAAUCCGAGAAAGAAUAUAUUAGUCAGCUGCAGCCCACAUGGUCUUCUGUACAAGUUAGUGGUUGUCCCUCAGUUCAACACAAUGAAAAAUAUGUCCAUUUAGUGGCAGCAACACCCUCUGAGUUUCAGACCAGAGAUUUUUUUUCCUGGCAGGCCCUUCCAUGUAACAACAAGGCUUCUUUAAAAGACUCUUUUUCUGGAUGUCAAUCAGGCAAAUGAAUAAGCUUGCCAAGUACCAGGCAGGCAGACCCCUGCAAAUGUAGCAGUGAAUGUUUAGAACUUCCUUUACAAAUACUUUUAGACUUUUACAGGUACCUAGGGUGCCGUGACUCUUCACUGAGCCUAUCUGUCUGCUUAGGGUCUGUAUGGCACAUACUUAACAUCACCAGUUAUGUCCUAUAAUAGUGUGUUGUCAGGGAGGGCUACAAACAGAAAGGAUAAAGCCAGUAUGGGGUUUCACAGAAUUACAGUAUACUAGAUUUGGGCAGAAGGGAGCUUAGCAACUGAGUGAGCUUAAUCUAAUUUCACUUAGGUUUGGAGAUGGUUAAUAAUUCCCUUAAUGACACACAUCAAGUCAAUGUUUGAGCCAAGACUUGACCUUCCGACUUCAAAUAUACUCCUCUUAGACAAUCUUAAUAUAUUUUAAAAUAGUUUUAAUUAUUUGUGUGUGUGUGUGUGUGUGUGUGUGUGUGUGUGUGUGUGUGUGUGUGUGUGUGCGUGCAUGUAUGCCAGCAUGUAUGUCUGUGCUGGUGUCCAAGGAGACUAGAGGAGAGCAUCAGAUCCCCUAGAACUGGAUUCACAGACAGUUGUGAGACACCAUGUAGGACUAAGAAUUAAAUCCUUGUCUUCUAGAAAAGCAUCCAGGGUUGUCUUGUUUUGUUUUGUUUUUAACUAUCGAGCUAUCUCUCCAGCCUUUAGAUCGGAGGUUCUCAGCCUGGAUACAACCCUUUUGUUGUCGGAGGGGAGGGGGCGAGGGGGAGGAGGUUGUGUCAAACAAUCCCUUCACAGGAGCCACAUAUCAGAUAUCCUACAUAGCAGAUAUUUACAUUAUGAGCCAUAACAGUAGCAAAUUAAAAGUAUGAAGUAGCAAUGAAAAUAAUUUUAUGGUUGUGAGUCACUACAACAUAAAGAACUGGAUUAAAGUAUCAUCGCAUCAGAAAGGUUGAGAAACACUGCUUUAGACUAUCUUAGUAUUUCAGCUAACAAACUUCCAUGACCUUGAUUGCUGUGGUAUUUGGGGUUAGGAACUGUAAGAUAAUACUUCCUUGUGGCUUAACAAAUGUUCACUCUUGCAAGGUUACAGUCAAGUCAGUGAGGAUUCCCUCUGUCCAAUGUAGGGAAUCAGGCUCUCUUCAGUGUAAAUCAUGGAAAUAGAUGGCUUUGGUCACCAUCAUAAUGAAGAGUAUGGAACCCAGUACACUGGUUCUUAAUGUCUUUUCUUACUUCCACUCACAUUUCAUUGGCUAUGAAUAAUUGCACAGUCCAAUUUUAACCAAAGCGGGUGGGAAAUGGAAAAGGAUGACUAAUUGUCAUUUCUGUGCAUGCACACCCACAAACACAGGUGUAGCCACACAGGGGCACUCUGGGUCAUUAGAAGACAAGGCUGUAAUACAUAAUAUUUUCACACUGAAGCAUGAAGGGCAUGCAGGAAAUACUAUUGGCUUAUGAAUUCACCUCAUUCAUAGCAAUCAAUCUUAAUUCUCAAGUCAAACCUCCCAAACGUGAUGGUCCAAAAUACUACAAAGUUCCACAGAUCGGAAGUGGAAGUUGGGUCUUUCUUUCCAGGAUAUCUUGUAGCUUUCUGUUGGUUCAAGCCAAGGAAAUGUAGGCCUCCAAUAAAAUAAGUGCAAAUCUUGGUGAGGCUCGUUGA